AAAGCGAGUGUCCCUCUCGCGCCCCAGCCAGUCUGGGUGUGGGGGUGGGGAGAAGGGGAUAUGAGGUGGUUUCCUUGGGAGGGGCCAUGAAUCAGGUAAGAAGCCAGACUGCUGAGGCAGAGUAGGGGGGAAGGAGGCACAAGGGCCUUGCACUCCAGCAAAGAUGGUAGAGAUGGGGAAGCAUUCGGGCUGGACAGGAGAGACCCAGGUUCCAGGCGCAGUGUGAAGCCUCAGCAGACCCCAGUUUCAGAGGUUUGAGGAAGGAAAAUCAACAGACACCCCGGGUAUGAAGUAGGGGCCAGGUUGUGGGCUCUGCCUCUGGGGACAGGGCAGAUCCCUUCCUGCUUUAUUUGUGAGCCACCUCAACAGGACCCAGGCCAUCUGCAGGUACUAGUGGCCUAGCUGGGUAGUCUUUCCUGAGGUCUCACCUCAGGCCUUUGUGCUGCUGCUGUUGCUUCUGGCCUUGAGCCUGAGAGAGAGGUGAGAGGAAGGAUGCUUUCUCUAACUUGGGCUCCUCCAAUCUCUGGUUGCAAAGCUGGGGUUGGGGGAGAGAGGACCACCCAACCUGCCCUGUACAA
rnacentral:lncRNA from 1 species